CAGAGGAGAGAGAACUCACACUGAUUGAGCAGUGGCAGGAAAGCCUCUCACAGAUGAUAAACUGAGACGAACUUUACAAAAAGGCUGGAUGAUGGGAAGCCCAGACCAGGAUACCGCACGUGCGUCGGCAUAGAGUUUGCAUUGUUUUUUUCCCAAAGAGGAACCAAAAUUGCAUAAGCUUCAGGCCCCAUGAAAACUGGAUCUGCCCUUGACUGAGAGAGUUCGCCACUCACAGACAUCAGUGAGAAGCUAUGGAAAGAUACUUUUCAGGAAGAGGGAAAUGAAAUCCAGAAGGAAGAGGUGGGAUUUAAGAAGCAAUGAAACAAACAAGUUGUCAAGCUGGCAGAAUUAAGUCUGAAGCUCCUGGUGGGGAGAGCUUGUUUGACGAGAAGAGCAGAGCUGAGUGUUAGAGAGGAAUAAGAACGCAUAUGACAUCAUCUGAGUACCUGAAUCCAGCCAUGACUGAAGCCUGACCACCCUGGACUUUUCUGUUAUAUGAACAACUAAAACUCCUGUUUUACUUAAGCCUCUGUUAGUUGGGUUAUUGUAUCUUGUAACAUAAGUGCGUGCAAACACACCUCUCAAAAUGCCACCUGAAAUUAAAUCUUUGCAUCUUCCGAG